GGAUAUGAAGGCAAUCUGGCUGCCAUAUCUGUCACCCAGCAUUGCCAGGUUGAGCUGGCUAGGGAGGUGUCCCUUACCUCCCUCACUGCUCCACGUGUGUCCCUCUGAAGCUACACACAUGGUCAAAGAGGACAACCUUCCCCAGCAGAAGAGGACCAUUCUUCAUUCACAGGUAUACAUGUAGGUAGCUGCGCUCCCUGCUGGAAGCUCUCAAGAUGUGGUGUUUUAUUUGUUACCAUGGCAGAGCCUAACCUUUCCUAAUGCCUGGGCUGAAGGG
rnacentral:snRNA from 1 species